GACUGUGUAGUAUAGUGGUUAGGGAGCCUGGCUUGUAACUCAGAGGUUGCAGGUUCAAUUCCUGGUGGGUCA
rnacentral:tRNA from 1 species